rnacentral:rRNA from 1 species
UAGGGAAUCUUCGGCAAUGGACGAAAGUCUGACCGAGCAACGCCGCGUGAGUGAAGAAGGUUUUCGGAUCGUAAAACUCUGUUGUUAGAGAAGAACAAGGACGUUAGUAACUGAACGUCCCCUGACGGUAUCUAACCAGAAAGCCACGGCUAACUACGUGCCAGCAGCCGCGGUAAUACGUAGGUGGCAAGCGUUGUCCGGAUUUAUUGGGCGUAAAGCGAGCGCAGGCGGUGUCUUAAGUCUGAUGUGAAAGCCCCCGGCUCAACCGGGGAGGGUCAUUGGAAACUGGGAGACUUGAGUGCAGAAGAGGGGAGUGGAAUUCCAUGUGUAGCGGUGAAAUGCGUAGAUAUAUGGAGGAACACCAGUGGCGAAGGCGGCUCUCUGGUCUGUAACUGACGCUGAGGCUCGAAAGCGUGGGGAGCAAACAGG